UAAGGAAUAUUGCGCAAUGGGCGAAAGCCUGACGCAGCGACGCCGCGUGGGGGAUGAAGGUCUUCGGAUUGUAAACCCCUUUCGGGAGGGAAGAUGGAAUGGGGUAACCCAUUCGGACGGUACCUCCAGAAGCAGCCACGGCUAACUUCGUGCCAGCAGCCGCGGUAAUACGAAGGUGGCAAGCGUUAUUCGGAUUUACUGGGCGUACAGGGAGCGUAGGCGGUUCGGUAAGCCCUUUGUGAAAUCUCCAGGCUUAACCUGGAACAGUCGGAGGGGACUGCCGGGCUAGAGGACGGGAGAGGAGCGCGGAAUUCCCGGUGUAGCGGUGAAAUGCGUAGAGAUCGGGAGGAAGGCCGGUGGCGAAGGCGGCGCUCUGGAACGUUUCUGACGCUGAGGCUCGAAAGCGUGGGGAGCAAACAGGAUUAGAUACCCUCGUAGUCCCUGAGCGGGCUGGCAAGGCGCAU
rnacentral:rRNA from 1 species